UACGUAGGGUGCAAGCGUUAAUCGGAAUUACUGGGCGUAAAGCGUGCGCAGGCGGUUAUGUAAGACAGGUGUGAAAUCCCCGGGCUUAACCUGGGAACUGCAUUUGUGACUGCAUAGCUAGAGUACGGUAGAGGGGGAUGGAAUUCCGGCGUGUAGCAGUGAAAUGCGUAGAUAUGCGGAGGAACACCGAUGGCGAAGGCAAUCCCCCUGGACCUGUACUGACGCUCAUGCACGAAAGCGUGGGGAGCAACAGG
rnacentral:rRNA from 1 species